UGAGAAGAGCUACAACAGCGGCCAAUAUUCUCCCGGAGCUUAUCCGAAAAUACGUUGACGAUUUAUUCCUGGUUUUACAUAAAGACCAGGUGAAUGCGGUGUUGGCAACCUUCAACUCACAAAACCCGAGGAUAUUGUUCACAUGCGAAGUUGAAGAAAAUGGACGACUACCAUUUCUCGAUUUGCUAGUGAUACGGCAAGAGGACGGUAGCGUUAAAACCGACUGGUAUGCCAAACCAAUAUCAUCCGGCAGGAUUCUUAACUAUUUCUCCUUCCAUCCGAGCGAUCAAAAACUGGCGGUGGUCAACAAUUUCAUCGACAGGGUCCGUAGGUUGAGCACCACUCGGAGUAGAGAAGAACAAGACAUACUCAUUCAUCAGCACCUCAGCAAAAACGAUUACCCUCGCACUCUUAUCAACCGAUUCCUUCAUCAACCACCUCGUACAGACAACCCGGAGAAACCAGCAACCUACCGUUCAAUUCCAUAUGUUCAUGGUCUCAGCUCUAGCAUCAAGAGAAUACUCCACAAGAGCAACACAGCAAUAGGGAUCUCUCACAGUUACAGAAACACAGUAGGACAUCUGUAUAAAAAUGCAAAAGAUCCGGUAUCCGAUCUCAACAAAUGUAACGUCGUAUACCGGAUCGACUGUAAAGACUGCCCAAGUACAUACAUUGGAAUGACAACGAACAAGCUGAGGAACCGAAUGUACGGACAUCAAACACACGUAAACACACUAGAGCGAAGAUUAUCGGAAGGCCACCAAUACACGGAUCCAGAAAUACUGCAGCUCCAGGAAAAAUCUGCGCUAAUCCAGCACUGCAUUGAGCAACAACACCGAUUCAAUAUCAGCAACCCCUCCAUCGUCGAUACAACACAUAAGAAACAGGCUCUGCAAGUGUUGGAGAUGUGUCACAUCACGACCACCUCCAACACGGUCAACCAUCGGACUGAUACCGACAACUUAAGCUGUGCGUACGCACACCUCCUCGCUCAAAUCAAAAACCAAAGAGCAGAGAGGAGUGCGUCGUCAACAAUCCAAAAUAACCGACGAGAAACAGCUGAUCCAACACCCUAACCUACACUAACAAACCCUACCACCCAAAUAACACCAGAAGAUACACACCCCACAGUUAAACCCGAACGGCGAUUGAUAACAGCCGCAUUCUUGUGUUCCGCUGAUUUCUAGUUUUCGAAUUUCUCCCGAUUCGUACCACCCACCCAACAUCCUACUGGGGUGCUGGUGAUGAAGUAAGUUCAUAACAUCAAUCCCGUUAGAACCAUUAAGCAUUUUAUUAAAAUCUACAGCGGAAAAGGUGCAGUGUUUUAUGGAAUAAAAACCAGACAAACGAUCGUGUGCAAAGUACGAUCUUUACAAGUUGAUUAAGAUCGAGUGAGUAGAGGACAAAACUAACAAUUCUAAACACAACUAACAGAUAUGCUUCAAUAAAUACAGGCCCUGAGGAAGAUCCAACCCAAGGAUCGAAACGUUGGCAAUGAUAUAAAAUUAUCAACGCUUUUUCCCGUGACUGAAAGCCGAAAAAACUCCGUAGCUAUCAAAAAUCCCAGUCGAAUAUUUUCCCAAAUCUGCAAUGGCGACGAAUACACGCACAUCAUUCUACACAGAAAUCAGCGAACGAUAUGGACCACAGGCUGUUCGGCUCCUGAAGAGUUACGCAAACAGCAACACAAAGCUAGGUAACAUGCAAAGCCGCAAAGAGUUCCUGCUCAGGUGUCGGCGAACCGGAGUUACACCACAGCAUAUCGUCCACUCGCUCCAGUGUACGCAUGAAUUGGUCGCAUCAAGAAGCCCCUACAACCGAAAGCUGUCCACGUCCGUAUCGAAAUUCCAAAAAUGUUUGUUGAACAUCGAGAUUCAGGACACCUUCCACAGAGUUCGUACUCUAAACCAGGAGUUGGACAAUCUGAGAGGCCAAAUCGUACACACAACCGAUCCAGAUACAUACGCACACUUUUUUCUCACACAAGAGUUUGCGUAUCAUGAGAACCUCCGGCGAAAAUCACAACAAACCACACAAAAAUACAACCGCCUGAUGAACAUGUCCGUGGUAGCAAAUCAACACCAGAUGCCGACGGAAAAUCCCAGCGCUAUCCUAAAUGCCACCAACAAAGUUGUCCCUCCAGAAACACGAAUCCUUCUCAGCCUUGGUCCGAAAUUCGCAUUGCCAUACAACGACACUACACAGGUACCGUGGUUCCACCUGAUAGCUGAUGUGGAGAACACUUUAUCUGCUUACACCGAGUCAACGAUCCGAGACCAGACGAGAUGCCAGGUUAUCAACAAGAUCCAAAACUUCAUCAACCGGAACACACCGUUCAGCGAUCCACUGUCCAAAUUCUGUAAAUCUGCCGUCAACAUCACCAAGAAGUUUAUCACAACAAACCCAGAUGUCUUGAUCACCGAAGCAGACAAGGGCAACCGCACCGUCAUAAUGAGCCUAGCAGAAUACGACAGUAAACUCGCUCAGCUGAUCGGCGACACCAACACGUACAAGCAGGUGAGCUCAGAUCCGACGGGUGGAUACGAACGGAAAAACAACAACAUCGUACACAGACUACACGCACUCAAACUGAUAGACACCCGAACAAAAUACACACUCACUAGCUACAACGCUGUAUGCCCCCGAAUAUAUGGACAACCCAAAGCACACAAGCCUGAUUUACCGCUCAGGCCAGUGGUCCCCAACAUAACGUCCCCCACGUACCAUCUUUGCAAAUACAUUGCCGAUAUACUCCAGAGAUCCUUCAAAAGCCAGUACAACGCGGUCGACUCAAAAACGUUUUGCGAAUAUGCCAAUCAACUAACGAUACCACCGGAUCACGUGCUAGUGUCAUUCGAUGCGGUGUCAUUGUUUACAAACGUAACGAAAGAGGUGGUCAUCCAUGACAUAAUCUCCAUGUGGGAUGAAAUACGAGGGAACACCAACAUAAAUUUGGAUUUGUUCCUCGAAAUUGUUGAUUUCUGCAUAGGAGCCAGUUGCUUCUGUUUCCGGCAAAAAUUCUAUGUCCAAAUAUCAGGCACAGCUAUGGGGAGCCCACUCUCCCCCAUUCUUGCCGACAUAGUGAUGGAGAAUUUGUUGAGAAGAGCUACAACAGCGGCCAAUAUUCUCCCGGAGCUUAUCCGAAAAUACGUUGACGAUUUAUUCCUGGUUUUACAUAAAGACCAGGUGAAUGCGGUGUUGGCAACCUUCAACUCACAAAACCCGAGGAUAUUGUUCACAUGCGAAGUUGAAGAAAAUGGACGACUACCAUUUCUCGAUUUGCUAGUGAUACGGCAAGAGGACGGUAGCGUUAAAACCGACUGGUAUGCCAAACCAAUAUCAUCCGGCAGGAUUCUUAACUAUUUCUCCUUCCAUCCGAGCGAUCAAAAACUGGCGGUGGUCAACAAUUUCAUCGACAGGGUCCGUAGGUUGAGCACCACUCGGAGUAGAGAAGAACAAGACAUACUCAUUCAUCAGCACCUCAGCAAAAACGAUUACCCUCGCACUCUUAUCAACCGAUUCCUUCAUCAACCACCUCGUACAGACAACCCGGAGAAACCAGCAACCUACCGUUCAAUUCCAUAUGUUCAUGGUCUCAGCUCUAGCAUCAAGAGAAUACUCCACAAGAGCAACACAGCAAUAGGGAUCUCUCACAGUUACAGAAACACAGUAGGACAUCUGUAUAAAAAUGCAAAAGAUCCGGUAUCCGAUCUCAACAAAUGUAACGUCGUAUACCGGAUCGACUGUAAAGACUGCCCAAGUACAUACAUUGGAAUGACAACGAACAAGCUGAGGAACCGAAUGUACGGACAUCAAACACACGUAAACACACUAGAGCGAAGAUUAUCGGAAGGCCACCAAUACACGGAUCCAGAAAUACUGCAGCUCCAGGAAAAAUCUGCGCUAAUCCAGCACUGCAUUGAGCAACAACACCGAUUCAAUAUCAGCAACCCCUCCAUCGUCGAUACAACACAUAAGAAACAGGCUCUGCAAGUGUUGGAGAUGUGUCACAUCACGACCACCUCCAACACGGUCAACCAUCGGACUGAUACCGACAACUUAAGCUGUGCGUACGCACACCUCCUCGCUCAAAUCAAAAACCAAAGAGCAGAGAGGAGUGCGUCGUCAACAAUCCAAAAUAACCGACGAGAAACAGCUGAUCCAACACCCUAACCUACACUAACAAACCCUACCACCCAAAUAACACCAGAAGAUACACACCCCACAGUUAAACCCGAACGGCGAUUGAUAACAGCCGCAUUCUUGUGUUCCGCUGAUUUCUAGUUUUCGAAUUUCUCCCGAUUCGUACCACCCACCCAACAUCCUACUGGGGUGCUGGUGAUGAACGGAAAAGGUGCAGUGUUUUAUGGAAUAAAAACCAGACAAACGAUCGUGUGCAAAGUACGAUCUUUACAAGUUGAUUAAGAUCGAGUGAGUAGAGGACAAAACUAACAAUUCUAAACACAACUAACAGAUAUGCUUCAAUAAAUACAGGCCCUGAGGAAGAUCCAACCCAAGGAUCGAAACGUUGGCAAUGAUAUAAAAUUAUCAACGCUUUUUCCCGUGACUGAAAGCCGAAAAAACUCCGUAGCUAUCAAAAA